CCUACGGGUGGCAGCAGUGAGGAAUAUUGGUCAAUGGACGAGAGUCUGAACCAGCCAAGUAGCGUGAAGGAUGACUGCCCUAUGGGUUGUAAACUUCUUUUAUAUGGGAAUAAAACGUUCCACGUGUGGGAUUUUGUAUGUACCAUAUGAAUACGGAUCGGCUAACUCCGUGCCAGCAGCCGCGGUAAUACGGAGGCUCCGAGCGUUAUCCGGAUUUAUUGGGUUUAAAGGGGGCGUAGGUGGAUUGUUAAGUCAGUUGUGAAAGUUUGCGGCUCAACCGUAAAAUUGCAGUUGAAACUGGCAGUCUUGAGUACAGUAGAGGUGGGCGGAAUUCGUGGUGUAGCGGUGAAAUGCUUAGAUAUCACGAAGAACUCCGAUUGCGAAGGCAGUUCACUGGACUGCAACUGACACUGAGGCUCGAAAGUGUGGGUAUCAAACAGGAUUAGAUACCCUGGUAGUC
rnacentral:rRNA from 1 species